GUGCUCACUUAGGCAGCAUAUAUACAAAAAUUGGAACUACGCAGAGAAGAUUAGCAUGGCCCCCGUGCAAGGAUGACACAAAUUCAUGAAGCAUUCCAUAGUUUU
ensembl:snRNA U6 U6 spliceosomal RNA